rnacentral:rRNA from 1 species
GAUGAACGCUGGCGGCGCGCCUAACACAUGCAAGUCGAACGGCACCUAUCUUCGGGUAGAAGCGAGUGGCGAACGGCUGAGUAACACGUGGAGGACCUGCCCCCUCCCCCGGGAUAGCCGCCCGAAAGGACGGGUAAUACCGGAUACCCCGGGGUGCCGCAUGGCACCCCGGCUAAAGCCCCGACGGGAGGGGAUGGCUCCGCGGCCCAUCAGGUAGACGGCGGGGUGACGGCCCACCAUGCCGACAACGGGUAGCCGGGUUGAGAGACCGACCGGCCAGAUUGGAACUGAGACACGGCCCAGACUCCUACGGGAGGCAGCAGUGGGGAAUCUUGCGCAAUGGGGGGAACCCUGACGCAGCGACGCCGCGUGCGGGACGGAGGCCUUCGGGUCGUAAACCGCUUUCAGCAGGGAAGAGUCAAGACUGUAC